rnacentral:rRNA from 1 species
GACGAACGCUGGCGGCGUGCCUAAUACAUGCAAGUCGAGCGAAGUUUUUCUGGUUCUUGCACUAGAAAAACUUAGCGGCGAACGGGUGAGUAACACGUAAAGAACCUGCCUCAUAGACUGGGACAACUAUUGGAAACGAUAGCUAAUACCGGAUAACAGCAUUACCUGCAUGGUUGAUGUUUAAAAGUUGGUUUUGCUAACACUAUGAGAUGGCUUUGCGGUUCAUUAGCUAGUUGGUGGGGUAAAGGCCUACCAAGGCGACGAUGCAUAGCCGACCUGAGAGGGUGAUCGGCCACACUGGGACUGAGACACGGCCCAGACUCCUAAGGGAGGCAGCAGUAGGGAAUCUUCCGCAAUGGGCGAAAGCCUGACGGAGCAACGCCGCGUGAGUGAAGAAGGAUUUCGGUUCAUAAAGCUCUGUUGUUAGGGAAGAAUGAUUGUGUAGUAAGUAUACACAGUAGAGACGGUACCUAACCAGAAAGCCACGGCUAACUACGUG